UUGGAUGUUGACCUAGUUCUGUGUGGAAGACUAGUGAUUUUGUUGUUUUUAGAUAACUAAAUUGACAACAAAUCACAGUCUGCCAUAUGGCACAGGCCAUGCCUCUACAG
rnacentral:pre_miRNA from 1 species